ACGCUGGAAUGAGGAAGAGGGAACGGGCAGAAAUUCCAUGGAACGCCCCAAGCAGCGCAAGAGGGCACACCCUGAAGGCACAAAGUGAACUGGAGAGGUGGAAUGCGGAGCGCGAGAGGAGCAGCCACCUUUCAGGCCAACAGCUGCUUUGGGGGAUGGGUUAGAUAAAUGUGCAGGGUUUCCAAUCAGCCCCACACACCCCGGUCAGAAGGCUUCACCGGAGCACAGCGUGGGGGAAUGGCUGCUGAUAACGCCUCGUCCAUCCCGGCCAUCCGCACAAACUUCCCUGGAGGAACCCGCACCACUGGAGGGGACCAUGGUGGCUCAAACCUGACCCCACCCCAAAGGGCAGCGAUGCAGAUGGCAGUGGGAAAAGCAGGUCAGCGUGCUUUGGAAAGAGCUGAAAGUCAGAGGGAUCUCCUCCAAGCCAUGUCUUGCUGCUUUUGGAUGCUGGGAGGAACCAACUCUGCGUCGAAGCACUUGGCGCAAGGCGGGACCAAGCACAGAUCCCCCUUCCAACACAUGCAGGAGAGCAGAGCUGAGCCGUUCGCACAGAAAACAGCGUAUGAGCACAGAAUGAAGGCAGCAGCACUGCAGCACUCAGCACAAGAGCGCUUUGAAGCAGGACAGCCCUCAGGAUCCUCGCCUUCCCAGCACCCAGGAUCCUCCCCAUUGCUUAUUUGUGUUGCAGCAGCGAGCUCCACUCACUGCAUGUGA
rnacentral:lncRNA from 1 species